rnacentral:lncRNA from 1 species
AGUCCUUCGCCGUCCCUCGCCGUCCUUCGCCAUCGCACGCCACCGCACCCCAUCUCUCGAAAUCUGCAGACAUCUUGAUUUUUCCCACGCUGUCUGUCAGGUCUCCGCCGCCACUCGACGCCAGGGCGCCGGGUGAGUCCACAGCAGGGCGCAUGGUCGGCUCCACUCUCACCAUCGGGGGAAACUGAGGCCCCGGGGAAGGCGGCCAGAGAGGUCAGGCCCUGUCCUUGGUGCAGUGUCUCGUCCUCUUUGCCGGAGUGAGCCCCCCAGGAUUCGCGUGUCCUCGGGAAAGACACUGGCAGGAGUGUCACAUGACUGCCGCCCCAUGUGUGUGAGAGGCGUCCUCUGGGAGAGCAUGGAUCCUGAGGUCCCAGGAUUGUCAGCUGACCUCUGUCCUGUGUGCCCAGUGGCCCCAGGUGACGUGUCUUCAAGAAGAGGCUGAGCUGCGGUGCUUGUAAGAUGGGUCUGCUGUGUGCAGAGGCUCCAUGGGAUGUGUUGUCUUCAUAGUAGCAGGGCGCUGGACCAUGGGUCCGCAAGGUCUCAGCCUUAGAUCCAAGGACAGUCCAAGGAAGUCCUAAGACCAUGGAGUUGGUGAUCUGGGAUCUGGGUUUGCUGAUAUUUCUCACCGUGAAUCUCUUGGUGGUGUUUGUGGGCACGAGAGGGGCAGAGAAUGGAGAGUGAGGCUACCACAUGAAGCGUCACCAGAGCUGCUCCCUGCUGCCUGCUCAGAGCACCCCGGAUCCACUGUUCAAUCUGCACAAGAUUCGGGGUCCAGACAUGGGAGACUUCAGCUGCCUCAGAGGACCGUGGACAGGGAAGGCCAGCCUCGCAUCCCUCUGUCCAUGCCUGGAAUGACUUUAAUAACCAAGAGUUUUAUUUUUGAAUUUGUAGCUGUCGUUCACUUUUUACCCACCCAUUCAAUAAACCUUACAGAAUUGCUCCA